rnacentral:rRNA from 1 species
UACGUAGGUGGCAAGCGUUGUCCGGAUUCACUGGGUGUAAAGGGCGCGCAGGCGGCUUUGUAAGUCCGAGGUGAAAUCUCACGGCUUAACCGUGAAACUGCCUUUGAUACUGCGGAUCUUGAGUUAGAGAGAGGUUGAUGGAAUUCCAGGUGUAGCGGUGAAAUGCGUAGAUAUCUGGAGGAACACCGGUGGCGAAGGCGGCAUCCUGGACCGGUAUUGACGCUGAGGCGCGAAAGCCAGGGGAGCAAACGGG